rnacentral:pre_miRNA from 1 species
GAAAACCGUCAACGCCCGAUGGGGAGACCGCGGUUGCCGCGGUCUCCCCAUCGGGCGUUGACGGAUCGC